rnacentral:rRNA from 1 species
UGACAUAAGUAACGAUAAAGCGGGUGAAAAGCCCGCUCGCCGGAAGACCAAGGGUUCCUGUCCAACGUUAAUCGGGGCAGGGUGAGUCGACCCCUAAGGCGAGGCCGAAAGGCGUAGUCGAUGGGAAACGGGUUAAUAUUCCCGUACUUGGUGUUACUGCGAAGGGGGGACGGAGAAGGCUAUGUUGGCCGGGCGACGGUUGUCCCGGUUUAAGCGUGUAGGUGUGUGUUCCAGGUAAAUCCGGUUCACUUUAACACUGAGGCGUGACGACGAGGCA